rnacentral:misc_RNA from 1 species
UUUCAACUUUCUUUCUCUUUUUUUCCCUACUUAGAUAGGGUUUUUGUUGAAAUCUUGAACUUUUUCAUGUGUAAUGCAAAUCUUGGUUGAAGAUAAAAUUUGGGGUUUGUUGUUCUUGGUGCAAAGUUUGGUUUUUUUUAAUUUCCUUUGGGGGUUUUGUGUUGAAGAGAAUCAACAACCAUGUCUACUCUUGUUAAUUACAGUGGUG